rnacentral:rRNA from 1 species
UAAAGUUUGAUCCUGGCUCACGAUGAACGCUAGCUACAGGCUUAACACUUGCUGGUCGAGGGGAAACGGCGUUGACUGCUUGUUCUCUUUGGACGUCGACCGGCGCACGGGUGACUAACGCGUAUCCAACCUUCCCAUUACUGUGGGAUAACCUGCCGAAAGGCAGACUAAUACCGCAUAGUCUUCGAUGACGGCAUCAGAUUUGAAGUAAAGAUUUAUCGGUAAUGGAUGGGGAUGCGUCUGAUUAUCUUGUCUCGGCGGGUGUAACGGCCCAUCGAGGCCACGAUCAUUAGGGGUUCUGUGAUGAAGGUUUCCCACAUUGUACCUGACACCCUGGUCGAGACUCCUACUGGAGGCAGCACUGAUGAACUAUUGGUCAAUGGACGGAGGUCUGGUAACCAGCCUAUUGGGCGUGCAGGCUGACGGCCCAUAUGCGGUUGUAAACUGCUUUUGUAUGGGGAUCAAGUUAGGGACGUGUUCCUAUUUGCAUGUUCUAUACGACUAAGGACCGGCUAAUUCCGUGCCAUCAGGCUCGGUAGUACUGAAGGUCCAAGCGUUAUCUGGAUUUAUUGUGUUUAAACGGCAGGCGUAAGUCUGGAGAUUAAGUGUGUUGUGAGAUGUAGACGCUCAACGUCUGAAUUGCAGCGCAUACUGGUUUCCUUGAGUACGCACAACGUUGGGGGAAUUCGUCGUGUAGCGGUGAAAUGCCUCAGAUAUGACGAAGCACUCCGAUUGCGAAGGCUGCUGACUGGAGCGCAACUGACGCUUAAGCUCGAAGGUGCGGGUAUCAAACAUGGAUUAGAUACCCUGGUAGUCUGCCCAGUACACGAUGGAUGCCCGCUGUUGGUAGCUGGUAUCAGCGGCUCAGCUGAAAGCAUGUAAUCAUCCCAUCUGGGGAGUACGCUUGCAACGGUGUAACUCAACAGGAAUUGACGGGGGUCCGCCCAAGUGGAUGCACAUGUCGCUGUUUAAUUCGAUGAUACGCGAGGAACCUUACCCGGGCUUGAAUUGCAGAGGAAGGAUUUAGAGAUAAUGACGCCCUUCGGGGUUUCUGUGAAGGUGCUGCAUGGUUGUCGUCAGCUCGUGCCGUGAGGUGUUGGUUUAAGUGCCAUAACGAGCGCAACCCCUUUCUUCAGUUGCCAUCAGGUUAAGCUGGGCACUCUGGAGACAGUGCCACCGUAAGGUGUGAGGAAGGUGGGGAGGACCUCAAAUCAGCACGGCCCUUACGUCCGGGGCUACACACGUGUUACAAUGGCCGGUACAGAGGGUCGGUGUAAUGCAAAUUGCAUCCAAUCUUGAAAGCCGGUCCCAGUUCGGACUGGGGUCUGCAACCCGACCCCACGAAGCUGGAUUUGGUAGUAAUCGCGCAUCAGCCAUGGCGCGGUGAAUACGUUCCCGGCCCUUGUACACACCGCCCGUCAAGCCAAGAAAGCCGGGGGUGCGUGAAGUCCGUGACCGCAAGGAUCGGCCUAGGGCAAAACUGGUGAUGCGGGUAAGUCGUAACAAGGUA